rnacentral:rRNA from 1 species
UACAGAGGGUGCAAGCGUUGUUCGGAAUUAUUGGGCGUAAAGGGCGCGUAGGCGGUGCUGUAAGUCUGUAGUGAAAUCUCUGGGCUCAACUCAGAGUCUGCUAUAGAAACUGCAGUGCUGGAGUGUGGGAGAGGUGAGUGGAAUUCCCGGUGUAGCGGUGAAAUGCGUAGAUAUCAGGAGGAACACCGGUGGUGCAGACGGCUCUCUGGACCGCGACUGACGCUGAAACACGAAAGCGUGGGUAGCAAACAGG